rnacentral:rRNA from 1 species
GGAUGCGAUCAUAACAGCACUAAAGCACCGGAUCCCAUCAGAACUCCGAAGUUAAGCGUGCUUGGGCGAGAGUAGUACUAGGAUGGGUGACCUCCUGGGAAGUCCUUGUGUUGCAUUCC